rnacentral:rRNA from 1 species
GCCAGCCCGCUCAGAAACUCAAAGGAAUUGACGGGGGCCCGCACAAGCGGUGGAGUAUGUGGUUUAAUUCGAUGCAACGCGAAGAACCUUACCUGGUCUUGACAUCCCGGAGACCCUUAGGAAACUAGGGGGUGCUUCCAUCUGGAAGAAUCUGGAGACAGGUGCUGCAUGGCUGUCGUCAGCUCGUGUCGUGAGAUGUUGGGUUAAGUCCCGCAACGAGCGCAACCCUUGCCUUUAGUUGCCAGCAGUUCGGCUGGGCACUCUAAAGGGACUGCCGGUGUUAAACCGGAGGAAGGUGGGGAUGACGUCAAGUCCUCAUGGCCUUUAUGACCAGGGCUACACACGUACUACAAUGGCCGAUACAAAGGGCAGCGACACUGCGAGGUGAAGCCAAUCCCGUAAAAUCGGUCUCAGUCCGGAUUGGAGUCUGCAACUCGACUCCAUGAAGUUGGAAUCGCUAGUAAUCGUGGAUCAGCAUGCCACGGUGAAUACGUUCCCGGGCCUU